AAACGAGGGGAAGAAAUUUGGGCGAUGAAGACGUAAUGAGGAUUGCGAAUGCAUCUGUCGACUGCCAGCCAACCGGCAGAGCGGAGCCUUCUGGAGGGCAAGGAAGAGAUGCAGCUUCGAGGCUGGGGUGCCCCUGCGAGCCGUCCCUGGUGGAGAGGAGCUGGAGAUGAGGAGCAGGCGACAGCAUUGGGGGCAGCCCCUUCCGGCCCACAUCCCGAAGGCUCCCUGCACUGCAGCCCUUUAGCCAGUCGUUCUGUCCCUCAUCUGCCCGCAGGCCCUGUGCUUGUCUAGUCUAUCCUACCCUGCCCUCUGCCCACCUGCUUUCCUCACGGGGCGUGCCCUUUUCUCCCAUACAAUGGGGGCUAGUCCAUAGGACUGCCGAGACACGGGGUGGUCCCUUGAAUGAUGAAGAAAACAGAGGCCCAAAGAAGCUAAGAAACUCACCCAAGACCACUCAGGAGGUAGAGGCAAAGAGACAAAGCUGGAAAAGUCUCUAACUUCCUGUCUGAUGUGCCACCUCACAGCUGCCUGACUGCCACCAGUCCCUGGUGCCCUUCCCGGUAGAUCCAAUCACAGACAUUAUUGGGAGAGUCAGGGUUCUCUGCUAGGCCCUGUGGUGUCCACAUUUGUUGGAGGAGAUAAGACAUUGAAAAGCCACCUGGAUGGUGCCAGGAUAGUCCUGAAACUGCAAGAUGUUGGACGUGAGGGUGAAAGGAGCCUGGAUCUCCGAGUCACUGCAUGGAGCAGAGAUAUCCAGGAAAGCUGCCAGACAUUGAUCAGCGUUUGUGCAAAUACUAAACACUUUCUCAUUUGUAAAGCCACUGAACUCUGGAGGCUAUUUGUUAGAGCAGCUAGUGGAAAUUGCUGUGACUAAUAUAAAGAGAUUGAACUUCAUGGGAUGCAGAUAGGAAAUGAUUUUAU